GAUGAACGCUAGCGGCAGGCUUAAUACAUGCAAGUUGAGGGGCAGCAUGAUAUACGCGAGUAUAUUGAUGGCGACCGGCGGACGGGUGAGUAAUAGGUAGGAGACCUACCUCAUACAGGGGGAUAGCAUAGAGAAAUCUGUGGUAAUACCCCAUGAGGUUAUAUGAAUAGAGGCAUAUAAUCAAAGCAUAAGCGAUUAUGCGGUAUGAGAGGGGCCUACUGACCAUUAGCUAGUUGGUGAGGUAAGGGCUCACCAAGGCGAAGAUGGUUAGGGGUUUUGAGAGAGAGACCCCCCACAUUGGAACUGAGAGACGGUCCAGACUCCUACGGGAGGCAGCAGUAGGGAAUAUUGGGCAAUGGGCGAAAGCCUGACCCAGCCAUGCCGCGUGAAGGAAGACGGCCUUAUGGGUUGUAAACUUCUUUACUAUACGAAUAGAGGUUAGUACGAGUUACUAAUAGGAAGGUAGUAUAGCAAAAAGCACCGGCUAACUCCGUGCC
rnacentral:rRNA from 1 species